rnacentral:rRNA from 1 species
UACGAAGGGGGCUAGCGUUGCUCGGAAUCACUGGGCGUAAAGCGCACGUAGGCGGAUUGUUAAGUCAGGGGUGAAAUCCUCCAGCUCAACUGGAGAACAGCCUUGGAUACUGAUCGCCUCGAGUGGGGUAGGGGCGGGCGGAACUUCCGGUGGAGCGGUGAAAUGCGUAGAUAUCGGAAGGAACGCCGGUGGCGAAGGCGGGUCUCUGGGCCGAUACUGACGCUGAGGAGCGAAAGCGUGGGGAGCGAACAGG